GCAGCGUUGCAGCGUGACGUCAUCGUAGAUUAGUUCAUUGUUGUUAUCCCGAAUUUGUCUGGCAAACAAUCGCAUCCACGAUGAAACCCGAAACAUUAUCGUGAUCACCGAGGGUCAAAACGGCGCUACAAGUCCCAGAGAAUUUAUUUGUCCAUCCCAAAAUCUUGCCGGAUUUCAUUGUGACCCACUUCUGAAGAGAAGUUUCAAAAUCUCCACCAAGGAAUGCUGGGAGUAAACCUGGAAAAGAAGAUCAAAUGGUACUCGCAUGAAAUCCAGUACUCGGUCGAUACAAGACCCCCCCUUGGAUGAGAUGCUGGCCGAGGUGAGGCAGCUGAAUAAGAAGAGGAGGAAGCUAUGGAGGAGUCUAAUGAUGAAGAAAGUGCUUAAAAUUGACAUCGAUAAUACGAGUCUGCAUUGACCCGCUCCAAGUCCCUCGCCGUGUACUGCAGCUUCCACUAAGGAGCAUCAUCAGCGGCGUUCCAUUGUCACGUCUCAUCUCAAAAACGAUUAAAACAGUAAUAAUAAAAAUAUACAUUUUA